rnacentral:antisense_RNA from 1 species
CUUCAGCGAUCCGAGCCACAGCGGACGAUCCGCAUCACGAGCUUGGCCAUACGUCGCCAAGAGCGCCUGCGCCUC